UACAGAGGGGGCAAGCGUUAUUCGGAAUUAUUGGGCGUAAAGGGCGCGUAGGCGGCCUGGCAAGUGGAAGGUGAAAUCCCUCGGCUUAACCGAGGAACUGCCCUCCAAACUGCUUGGCUUGAGUCCGGGAGAGGUGAGUGGAAUUCCCAGUGUAGCGGUGAAAUGCGCAGAUAUCGGGAGGAACACCAGUGGCGAAGGCGGCACUCUGGGCCGGAACUGGCGCUGAGGAGCGAAAGCGUGGGUAGCAAACAUG
rnacentral:rRNA from 1 species